AGAGUUUGAUCAUGGCUCAGAACGAACGCUGGCGGCGUGGAUAAGACAUGCAAGUCGAGCGGGAUUUCUUUUGGUAGCAAUACCGAUGGAAGUCUAGCGGCGAACGGGUGCUUAACACGUGGGCAACCUGCCAAGAAGUGGGGGAUAGCUCGCCGAAAGGCGAAUUAAUACCGCAUGUGAUUAGAGAGGACAUCCUUUCGAAAUUAAAGUCGGGGCAACCUGACGCUUUUUGUGGGGCCCGCGGCCUAUCAGCUAGUUGGUGAGGUAACGGCCCACCAAGGCUUUGACGGGUAGCUGGUCUGAGAGGACGACCAGCCACACUGGGACUGAGACACGGCCCAGACACCUACGGGUGGCAGCAGUCGAGAAUUUUUGACAAUGGGGGAAACCCUGAUCGAGCGACGCCGCGUGGAGGAUGAAGGUCUUCGGAUUGUAAACUCCUGUCAUUGGGGAACAAGGUGCAUACGUUAACUGCGUGUGCAUUGAUAGUACCCGAAGAGGAAGAGACGGCUAACUCUGUGCCAGCAGCCGCGGUAAUACAGAGGUCUCAAGCGUUGUUCGGAUUCAUUGGGCGUAAAGGGUGCGUAGGCGGCGCGGUAAGUCGGGUGUGAAAUCUCGGGGCUUAACUCCGAAACUGCAUUCGAUACUGCCGUGCUUGAGGACUGGAGAGGAGACUGGAAUUUACGGUGUAGCGGUGAAAUGCGUAGAUAUCGUAAGGAAGACCAGUGGCGAAGGCGGGUCUCUGGACAGUUCCUGACGCUGAGGCACGAAGGUCAGGGGAGCAAACGGGAUUAGAUACCCCGGUAGUCCUGACAGUAAACGGUGCACGUUUGGUGUGGGAGGAUUCGACCCCUUCUGCGCCGGAGCUAACGCGUUAAACGUGCCGCCUGGGGAGUACGGUCGCAAGAUUAAAACUCAAAGAAAUUGACGGGGCCCGCACAAGCGGUGGAGUAUGUGGCUCAAUUCGAUGCAACGCGAAGAACCUUACCAGGCC
rnacentral:rRNA from 1 species